rnacentral:rRNA from 1 species
UACGUAGGGAGCAAGCGUUGUCCGGAAUCAUUGGGCGUAAAGCGCGCGUAGGUGGCUUCGUAAGUCCGUUGUGAAAGUCAAAGGCUCAACCUUUGAAUGCCGAUGGAUACUGCGGAGCUAGAGUACGGAAGAGGCGAGUGGAAUUCCUGGUGUAGCAGUGGAAUGCGCAGAUAUCAGGAGGAACACCAAUAGCGAAGGCAGCUCGCUGGGACGUACUGACACUAAGGCGCGAAAGCGUGGGGAGCGAACAGG